GGCAGCCUUGUCAAAUUCGGCGCUUGCCUGCUCCAUGGUUGGGACCGGCCCUGCAACUGCUGCAACAAACGUGUCGGUCAUGGGCCCCAGGUCUGUGCCGUUGGGCCUGGGGAUAAACACAUGUUACAGAUAAAC